UUGUCCGGAAUUAUUGGGCGUAAAGAGCUUGUAGGCGGUUUGUCGCGUCUGCUGUGAAAUUUCGGGGCUCAACCCCGAACUUGCAGUGGGUACGGGCAGACUAGAGUGUGGUAGGGGAGACUGGAAUUCCUGGUGUAGCGGUGAAAUGCGCAGAUAUCAGGAGGAACACCGAUGGCGAAGGCAGGUCUCUGGGCCAUAACUGACGCUGAGAAGCGAAAGCAUGGGGAGCGAACAGG
rnacentral:rRNA from 1 species